rnacentral:misc_RNA from 1 species
GAAUAAAACCAUACAAUGGCCGCGGCAGAAGGAAAGACUAAAAUAUUUCCUAGAAUCAAAUGUGUACGGGCGUACGUCUCUGAGUCCAAGCCCGAGGACCAGGGCGCUGACUGUCACGAUGUGGAGGACACUCACUAUUGGCGGAGUGCCAGGCUGUUACAUCGUGGAGAAUCACCUUAGCAGAUUCGUGGAGGGACAGGACCCUCGCGAUGUGGAACUUAUGUGGGACCAGAUGUUCAGAGCUACCCUCAACUACGGGCGCAAAGGACUGCCAAUUCAGUGCAUCAGUGCCAUCGAUUUAGCGUUGUGGGAUCUGCUUGGUAAGUUGAGAAAUGAACCUGUGUAUGCAUUACUUGGCGGGAAAACCAAGCAACGUCUGCCGGUGUAUUCCACUACCGCUCGUCCAGACAUUGCUAAACAAUUAGGCUUUGUUGGGGCAAAAAUUCCUUGUGCCUAUGGGCCAUCUGAUGGGGAUGAGGGUCUAAAGAAAAAUGUAGAAAUAUUCAAACGAUGGCGCGAGACAGUGGGUCCUGACUUUCCGUUGAUGUUAGACUGCUACAUGGCACUAACCGUACCGUAUACUGUUAAAUUGGCAAGAGCACUAGAGCCUCUAGGACUAAAAUGGAUUGAGGAAUUCUUGCCUCCAGAUAGCUACGAUGGGUACAGAGAAGUGCGCGAGGCAUUGAGGAGUUCCACGGUUUUACUAACCACCGCCGAACACGAGUACAGUCGCUAUGGUUACCAGCUGCUCCUCAAUUCUAAAUGCGUGGAUAUACUCCAACCAGACAUUUCGUGGCUGGGUGGCAUUACAGAAGCGCGCAGAAUCGUUGCCAUGGCUUCCGCCAACGAUGUCUUAGUAAUUCCCCACGGAUCCAGCAUCUAUUCCUAUCACCUACAAUACGCCUUCCGGAAUUGUCCACUGGCGGAAUUCAUCAACCUGAGUCCAAAAGCUGACAAGAUAGUCCCGUACUUUGGCGGGCUGUUCCCAGACGAACCUUUGCCUUCCAAUGGUUUCAUAGACCUACCAGAUCGUCCCGGAUUUGGUGUGACCUUGUGCAAGGACAGUCUUCGUCGUCCAUUCCAGCGCAGUGAUGAAGAAUCCAGAGCCCAGGCGUCUAAAAACGCCACGUACAAGUCUCAAGAGAAACCUCACAUGCCAUUUUAGUGAUCGAGUUUGAGUCUACUGCAUGGAGCAUCUGUUUGGUAUUUAUCGACACAGAAAAUGUAUCCAUCAUCUAAUUGAUUUUAAUUUGUAUAACCCUGAUUUAUUGUAUAAUUCCCUGGCCACCUAAAAAACCUCGAAAAACACCUUCUAGGAUAAAGCAUCAAUGUGACCUUACAUUCUAAUUGAAAUGAAAAUAAAGCACACAAGUUG